GUGAAUCAUCGAAUUUUUGAACGCAAAUUGCACUCUCCGGUUUUCCGGGAGAGUAUGCCUGUUUGAGGGUCAGCCUAAAAAAAAUCGACAUUGUUGCUGUUAUUUAAUGGUGACUUUCGUCGGAGAUUGGGUUAUCUUAAACCUUUUUUUUUUUGUUUUAACCGAUUAAAAUUUUUUUUUCCCAUUUCCAUAAACUUUUUAAAAAUUUUUUUUUUUUAUACU
rnacentral:misc_RNA from 1 species